rfam:Gossypium hirsutum cultivar TM-1 chromosome 23, whole genome shotgun sequence
GACUCGAAAUUGGGUAAUCUAUCCAUGACCAAGAUGAAGCUUGGGUGAAACUAAGUUGAGGUCUGAACCGAUUGACGUUGAAGAAUCAACGAAUGAGUUGUGGUUAGGGGUGAAAUGCCAUUCGAACCCAGAGCUAGCUAG